UAUAAGAGGUCCAGCCUGCCCAGUGACUUUGUUCAACGGCCGCGGUAUCCUAACCGUGCGAAGGUAGCGUAAUCACUUGUUCUUUAAAUGAGGACUAGUAUGAAUGGCACCACGAGGAUUGCACUGUCUCCUUUUCCCAAUCAGUGAAACUAAUCUUCCCGUGAAGAAGCGGGAAUAUAAAUAUAAGACGAGAAGACCCUAUGGAGCUUUAAACCAAAUAACAUUUAUCCUUAUUUUUAUCGAAAUUUAAGAAAACUAUAAUUUAUUUUGAUAUUAUGAUUAAUGGUUUUAGGUUGGGGUGACCGCGGAGAAAAAUUUAUCCUCCACAUUGAAAAGAUACUCUCUUUAGCUAAGAACGACAGCUCCAAGCAUCAAUAAAUUGACAUUUUUGACCCAAUAUUUUGAUCAACGAACCAAGUUACCCUAGGGAUAACAGCGCAAUCCACUUCAAGAGCCCCUAUCGACAAGUGGGUUUACGACCUCGAUGUUGGAUCAGGGUACCCCAGUGGCGCAGUCGCUACUAAAGGUUCGUUUGUUCAA
rnacentral:rRNA from 1 species